rnacentral:rRNA from 1 species
CUUAAAACUUAAAGGACUUGACGGUGUCCCAUCUACCUAGAGGAGCCUGUUCUAUAAUCGAUAAUCCUCGUUAUAUCUUACCUUUUUUUGCUAAUCAGUCUGUAUACUUCCGUCGUAAGCUUACCAUAUGAAUGCAUCAGUAAGUUAAAUAGUAAUAUUAUUACCAAAACGUCAGGUCAAAGUGCAGCCUACAAAAAGGGAAGAAAUGGGCUACAAUUUCUACUUUAGAACACACGAAUUUAAGUAACUGAAAACUACUAUGAAGGCGGAUUUAGAAGUAAAGCGAAAAUAAAGUGUUCGCUUUAACAAUGCUCUGGGACGUGU